GGCCGGUUAGCUCAGUUGGCUAGAGCGUCGUGCUAAUAACGCGAAUGUCGUGGGUUCGAUCCCCGUACUGGACA
rnacentral:tRNA from 1 species